ACUCUUCUGACCUCAUAGCCACCAAGAGGGGUUGGUGGCCAGUUGAUUCUGCUGCAGCAGUUGGCACACGACCCCGUUCCCCGCCAAGCCUGGGACUGUCAAAGAAAGGGAUCACGUAGACUCCAUAGGGCUCAAAAGCUGCCAAGACCCUGGUGGCCCUCCGCUUGCUCCUAUGCCAAGGGAUGGGCAGUGAAUGCCUAGUCAACAUGAAGAACCUCAGACAGAUGUGACUCUGCCCAGAGCCAGGCCGGGGCAGCCACCAGCCUGAUCCCUCUACGUGCCCCCCCCCCCCUGCCCAGCCCAGUCUGGCCUGAUGCCCCCGAGGUCCGUGCGCCUGCUUCCCGUCCUCACUCUGCUCCUCCCGCAGCAGCGCCUUCUACCACGCAUGCGCUCCGCCCCUCCCUCUGUCACGGUGCCACUGGCUUUCUGUCACGCUCCCCAUUUCUGUCCCAAGGGUUACAAGUAAACUGCCACCCGAGGUUGCUAAAUUUGUUCACUCUUUUUUACGGUUUCCUCUACUGAGGUCACGUUGGCAGCUGUUUCCCUAUUUAGGAACUUAAAUGCAAUCUUCCGGUGGGUAUCCUGGGAAGCUAUUCUGUGCAGCACCACGCCGCCACCGGUGACUCCUCUUCCUCCCUCCACCUGCUCUGUGCUCUACAGACAACAGUUAGUCCCUCACUGCUUCCGGCCCCAGGUAGGCCUGCCUUUCAGUUCACCGGAGCUCUCCUGCCGGGAGUCACGGACAAACACCUCAUUCCCUCCUCGCUGGGAACUGGAUGCAAAUAUGGGCAGGUGUGAACCCUAGAUGUGAACUUGAGCCCGUUGGAAGGUACGUUUCUAAGGUGCAAGCCCAUUCUGAAGGAUCAUCCAGGACAUGUCUUCCCUGGAGAGCCCCACGGUAGCAGACACUUGCCUCCUGAAGGGUUGAAGACAGGUUGUAAUGGAGGCAUUGGCUGGACUGUAUUCCCACUGGGAGGCUCAACUGGACAAGAGCCUGUUUCCAAGCUCCCUCAGAUGAUGGUGGAAUUUUUUUAUUUGCAGCCGUAUGUCUGAAAUCCCUGAUUUCUUGGUUGCUAUCCACUGGGGACCAUUUUCAGCUCCCUGAAGCCACACUCACGUCCCUGCCAAGUUCACAGGCCCACCCUCCAUAGAGAGCUCACAGCAAGACUGUUGACUUCAGAGUCAGCAGGAGCACCUCUCUGGCUUUAUAUCUCCCUUUAGGAAAGCUAUCGUUCCUCUUUCAAGGUUCACUUGAUUAGGCCAGGCCCACCCUUUUUGAUGAACUCCUAGUCAACUGAUUAGUAAUCCUUUCAUAGCAGUAAAACCCUAUCAUGGUCACAGGUCCUGCCCACACUCAAGGGGAGGCAAUUAUACAGGGUAUAUAAACCAGGGGAUGGGAAUCUUGGGGGCCCAUCUUUGAAUUCAGCUUAUCACACUGGAAAAUGUCAAGCACUUCCCUACUUUUAAUCUCCUUGGAGCAGGAGAUCAGGUAUAAACUUUACAGAUUUACAGAGGUUAAAAAAAAAAAAAAAAAAAAAAGACUGAGAAGCCAGAGUGAUUUGGUUCUAGCCACAGAGUUAAGAAGUAGUUGGAUUGGAAGUGGUCAUCAGAGCUUUCCAAAGGUAAAGGGAAAUAAGCAGUAACAAAUAUAGACAUUCAUGAAAAUAAGUUAUGUGAUCAUACGUGGUGCUACAGGCUCUGAUGGAAAGAAGAAAGGAAGAGCAAAGAUGGGAAAUUAUGACUAAUGAACCCACGUCCUGCUGUAGGAGGCCAUUCUGGACCUACUGGAAACAAUGCCAGUAAAGAACAUGAGCUGUCCGUCUGAUGUCAGAGAGAAUAACAGGCAUCUGGGGCGUGAUUGCUAUAUUUAAAAGAGGGAAUUCACAGCAACUUUCAAAGGUGAAUGGACGAGUUGGCACAGGUCUCCCGAAAAGACCAAACAGGAGCUAGAGAGAUCGCCACUGAGACCCUGAAGUUUUCUCUAGCUCGACCCUUCCUGUUCUUCCCUUCACAGCUCAGAGACCAGCCUGUCUCCUAAGGAAUCGUUCUGUGACAGGCUUAUCAAAGAGACCUUGAGCUUAUGUCCAGCCAACUAUAUUAUUUCCUGUAUCAUCAGUCUGAAAUUUUCCCUGAAGACGUUUUUUUAAUUUUUUUUUUUUUUAUGAGUUUUAUGUAGUUAAGUAAUAAUCUGUACACCCAACCUGGGGCUUGAACUCACAACCGUGAGAUCAAAAGUUGUAUGCUCUACCAACUGAGCCAGCCAGGCACCCCUCCCCCAAAAGAUUUAGAUAUUUAGAUUUUAAAAGGUAGGAUAUCGAGGGGGCGCCUGGGUGGCUCAUUCGGUCGAGCGUCCAACUCUUGAUCUCGGCUCAGGGCAUGAUCUCACGGUUCGUGAGAUUGAGCCCAAGUCAAGGCUCUGUGCUGUCAGCAUGAAGCCUGCUUGGGAUUCUUUGUCUCCCUUUGUCUCUGCCCUUUCCUCGCUCAUUCCCACUCUCUCUCGAAAUAAAUAAAUAAAAUCUUAUAAAAAAAAAAAAGCUAGGAUAUAGAAUGGUAAAAGGGUUAAGGUUCUCAAUGAUACAGCUUGAUAUUCUGCAAAUAACAAAAUUUUGUUUUUCAAGAAUAUACAAGUAAAAGC